rnacentral:snoRNA from 1 species
UGGACUAGUAAUGAGAGUAUGUCAGGAACCAAGGAUUAUGAUAAGCUGAAUUCUGUCCAUCUGAAGUCCUAG